CACGUAGGGCGCAAGCGUUGUCCGGAAUUAUUGGGCGUAAAGAGCUCGUAGGCGGUCUGUUGCGUCCGCUGUGAAAACCCGGGGCUUAACCCCUGGCUUGCAGUGGAUACGGACAGACUAGAGGUAGGUAGGGGAGAAUGGAAUUCCCGGUGUAGCGGUGAAAUGCGUAGAGAUCGGAAGGAACGCCCGUGGCGAAAGCGAGGUCCUGGACGUCUACUGACGCUGAGACGCGAAAGCUAGGGGAGCAAACGGG
rnacentral:rRNA from 1 species